rnacentral:hammerhead_ribozyme from 1 species
AUCCAGCUGACGAGUUCCGAAAUAGUACAAAACGCGCGUCCUGGAC